GGUAGUCCACGCCGUAAACGAUGUCGACUUGGAGGUUGUGCCCUUGAGGCGUGGCUUCCGGAGCUAACGCGUUAAGUCGACCGCCUGGGGAGUACGGCCGCAAGGUUAAAACUCAAAUGAAUUGACGGGGGCCCGCACAAGCGGUGGAGCAUGUGGUUUAAUUCGAUGCAACGCGAAGAACCUUACCUACUCUUGACAUCCAGAGAACUUUCCAGAGAUGGAUUGGUGCCUUCGGGAACUCUGAGACAGGUGCUGCAUGGCUGUCGUCAGCUCGUGUUGUGAAAUGUUGGGUUAAGUCCCGCAACGAGCGCAACCCUUAUCCUUUGUUGCCAGCGGUUAGGCCGGGAACUCAAAGGAGACUGCCAGUGAUAAACUGGAGGAAGGUGGGGAUGACGUCAAGUCAUCAUGGCCCUUACGAGUAGGGCUACACACGUGCUACAAUGGCGCAUACAAAGAGAAGCGACCUCGCGAGAGCAAGCGGACCUCAUAAAGUGCGUCGUAGUCCGGAUUGGAGUCUGCAACUCGACUCCAUGAAGCCGGAAUCGCUAGUAAUCGUAGAUCAGAAUGCUACGGUGAAUACGUUCCCGGGCCUUGUACACACCGCCCGUCACACCAUGGGGAGUGGGUUGCAAAAGAAGUAGGUAGCUUAACCUUCGGGAGGGCGCUUACCACUUUGUGAUUCAUGACUGGGGUGAAGUCGUAACAAGGUAACCGUAGGGGAACCUGC
rnacentral:rRNA from 1 species